AAUCUAUGUCCAUCUCGAGUAGUCCGCUGGCUUUGGCUAUAAAAAGCACCACAGCAGCUACACAAAAAACACACCUCAGUAAAAUGAAAAAGCUAAGGCAAAGAUAAAAGAGUGUGAUAGUUCAUAUCAAUGGAGUAGAGCUUAGUCGGGCUUGCGCUCCCAUGAGAGAGUACAGGAAUAUUUCUGAUAUACCUAGUUCCAAAAUAGUUGCAGCCCUUGCUUAUAGGGAUGGCAAUGGUGCGGGUGCGGUGCGAGUUUCGGGUUUUUACUAAACGCGCAAGUGUAAACACCUAAUUUUUGACCAAACUGAAUGUUUUACGUCAUUUAGUGUUUAAUAUAUAUACUUAAUUUUUAUCUUAUUUUUACAAGAUUGCUUUUAAAGUUUGGAAAAAUACAAAAAUAAAGUCAUAUUAAAAUAAGUUUUUUAUUUAUUUAUUUUUAUUACUUAUUUAUUUAUUUAUUUAAAAAAAAAAAAAAAAAAAAGAAGAUAAAGUCAAAUCCUAAAUUUACCCAAACCACCCACAAUCCCCCACUCCUAAUCAACCUCCCCCACUAUCCCCACACACUACCACAACUACAUACUACUAUAUAAAGCACUCAAACAUACUACAUAUUGGACUACAAAAACACACAUACGGAAACAAGAAGAAAAAACACUACUACUAUACUACAAAACCACUACACUACUACAUAUCAUAUAUACCACUACACUACUACAUAUCAGAUAUACCACACACACUACUACAACCACACACUCAGAUACAUAUGCACACACACAUACACGGCUGAAACAAGAAAAAGAAAAACCACUACAUAUUAUAUAUACUACAAACACACACACACGAAAAAAAAAAGAGUAUUCUUAUGGGUUCGUGAGUUGGAGUUCGAGUUUCGGUUCCUGUUUUAGUCUCCGGUGAUGGCAUUCUACUCCUGCUCUUAAUCAAUUUGUUACACAAGUAUGUCUAUUGUCGAGGCUUGACUUUGUUGUAUCAAGAAUGUUUUAUUGUUAAUUCAAUUUCGAAAAUAUAUUGGGUUGGCUCUA